rnacentral:tRNA from 2 species
GCGUUCGUAGCUCAACUGGAUAGAGCACCGCCCUUCUAAGGCGGGGGUUAGGGGUUCGAGUCCCUUCGGACGCACCA